rnacentral:rRNA from 1 species
AAUCAACGCUGGCGGCGUGCCUAACACAUGCAAGUCGAACGCGAAAGCCCCGCAAGGGGUAAGUAGAGUGGCAAACGGGUGAGUAACACGUGGGUGACCUGCCUUCGAGUGGGGGAUAACGUCCCGAAAGGGACGCUAAUACCGCAUGACAUCCCGCUUUUGAAAAAGCGGAGAUCAAAGCUGGGGAUCGCAAGACCUAGCGCUUGAAGAGGGGCCCGCGCCUGAUUAGCUAGUUGGUGAGGUAACGGCUCACCAAGGCGACGAUCAGUAUCCGGCCUGAGAGGGCGGACGGACACACUGGGACUGAGACACGGCCCAGACUCCUACGGGAGGCAGCAGUGGGGAAUUGUUCGCAAUGGGCGCAAGCCUGACGACGCAACGCCGCGUGGAGGACGAAGAUCUUCGGGUCGUAAACUCCUGUCGAGCGGGACGAACGCUUCGCGGAUGAAUAAUCCGCGGAAUUGACGGUACCGCUAAAGGAAGCCCCGGCUAACUCCGUG